rnacentral:rRNA from 1 species
GUGAGGAAUAUUGGACAAUGGGCGUAAGCCUGAUCCAGCCAUGCCGCGUGCAGGAAGACGCAUCUAUGGUGUGUAAACUGCUUUUGUACGGGAAGAAACACUCCCUCGUGAGGGAGCUUGACGGUACCGUAAGAAUAAGGAUCGGCUAACUCCGUGCCAGCAGCCGCGGUAAUACGGAGGAUCCAAGCGUUAUCCGGAAUCAUUGGGUUUAAAGGGUCCGUAGGCGGUUUAAUAAGUCAGUGGUGAAAGCCCAUCGCUCAACGAUGGAACGGCCAUUGAUACUGUUAGACUUGAAUUACAAGGAAGUAACUAGAAUAUGUAGUGUAGCGGUGAAAUGCUUAGAUAUUACAUGGAAUACCAAUUGCGAAGGCAGGUUACUACUUGUGGAUUGACGCUGAUGGACGAAAGCGUGGGGAGCGAACAGGAUUAGAUACCCCUGUAGUCC